rnacentral:rRNA from 1 species
AACGAACGCUGGCGGCAGGCCUAACACAUGCAAGUCGAGCGAGGACUUCGGUCCUAGCGGCGGACGGGUGAGUAACGCGUGGGAACGUGCCCUUUGCUGCGGAAUAGCCCUGGGAAACUGGGAGUAAUACCGGAUGAGCCCUUUGGGGGAAAGAUUUAUCGGCGAAGGAUCGGCCCGCGUUGGAUUAGGUAGUUGGUGGGGUAAUGGCCUACCAAGCCGACGAUCCAUAGCUGGUCUGAGAGGAUGAUCAGCCACACUGGGACUGAGACACGGCCCAGACUCCUACGGGAGGCAGCAGUGGGGAAUCUUAGACAAUGGGGGAAACCCUGAUCGAGCCAUGCCGCGUGAGCGAUGAAGGCCUUAGGGUUGUAAAGCUCUUUCAGCUGGGAAGAUAAUGACGGUACCAGCAGAAGAAGCCCCGGCUAACUCCGUG